rnacentral:rRNA from 1 species
UGGGGAAUAUUGCACAAUGGGCGCAAGCCUGAUGCAGCCAUGCCGCGUGUAUGAAGAAGGCCUUCGGGUUGUAAAGUACUUUCAGCGGGGAGGAAGGCGUUGUGGUUAAUAACCACAGCGAUUGACGUUACCCGCAGAAGAAGCACCGGCUAACUCCGUGCCAGCAGCCGCGGUAAUACGGAGGGUGCAAGCGUUAAUUGGAAUUACUGGGCGUAAAGCGCACGCAGGCGGUCUGUUAAGUCAGAUGUGAAAUCCCCGGGCUCAACCUGGGAACUGCAUUUGAAACUGGCAGGCUUGAGUCUCGUAGAGGGGGGUAGAAUUCCAGGUGUAGCGGUGAAAUGCGUAGAGAUCUGGAGGAAUACCGGUGGCGAAGGCGGCCCCCUGGACGAAGACUGACGCUCAGGUGCGAAAGCGUGGGGAGCAAACA